rnacentral:tRNA from 1 species
GCCGGGGUGGCGGAACUGGCAGACCACAGGACUUAAAUCCUGCGGUAGGUGACUACCGUACCGGUUCGAUUCCGGUCCUCGCACCA